GGGGAUCUUACUAGGUCCGGACCGAUUCUAUGAUCGUCGUACUGUGGGGUGCUACGUGAUUACUGGAUGAGUGGUGCAUGGCCGUUCUUAGUUCGUGGUGUUAAUUGUCUACUUAAUUGUCCGUAGUUUAAUACAUGUAUUGAACUAUGAACGAACGAGAUCGAGACCCGUGGUUGCGUGUGUUUGAAUUCGGUAUUACUACGGGGAUCGCGUAUUACUCCACGGUACGAUCGAAAGACUCGGCAAUAACAGGUCUGUGAUGCCCUCAGAUGUUCUAGGCUGCACACGUGCUACAGUGUGGUUCCGUGUCGUGUGUGUAUG
rnacentral:rRNA from 1 species